AUACGGAGGGUCCGAGCGUUAUCCGGAAUCAUAGGGUUUAAAGGGUCCGUAGGCGGGAAUCUAAGUCAGUGGUGAAAUCUUGCAGCUCAACUGUAGAAUUGCCAUUGAUACUGGAUUCCUUGAAUUAGUGUGAAGUGGUUAGAAUGUGUAGUGUAGCGGUGAAAUGCAUAGAUAUUACACAGAAUACCAAUUGCGAAGGCAGAUCACUAACACUAUAUUGACGCUGAGGGACGAAAGCGUGGGGAGCGAACAGGAUUAGAAACCCCGGUAGUCC
rnacentral:rRNA from 1 species